UCUGUAAUCGAACACUUAGAAGUCGGUGUCAUUGGCUUCAGAAUGGCCUGUACCCAGUGGUUGAAAUCCUCCCCAAUUUGCCACCGGUUUGCUGCCCGCACAUGCGCGCUGCGCACCAACAUGCCAAACGUGAGCUUUGUGCAGAAAAAGGAGGCUUGGGAAGGCACAAAAGCCAGCUGGGAGACUUUGGGCCAACCCUAGAUGCGGGAAGCUGAAAAAAUAUCCCAGCAAAAGCUUUAAAAUGGAUGGGUAAAGCCUCCAGGAGACGAUCCAGAGGGUUGAAGAAGCCAGCCCCAAUCUCUCCAAUGUCAAUAGUGCCUUCCGUAAUCCUUGAAAGCUAAUAAUCAAAACCUACCUCUAAUAUGGGCCCAUAUUACACAGGACUGUGUUCUCAUCUGAGGGGAAAAAAAGACACUCCCUUAAUUCGAGGUAGAGUUGGCGCAAUUGGAUGGAACUGAGUAUUUACUGGCCGCAUGCCCUUCCUGAUGCCUACAUGGAGUUCACAAAGUUUUUUUUCUUCGUGCCCUAGAAGAAAAACAUCUGCCGCUACCUAGGAUUGAACUCUCGACCUUCCAAAUGGGAAGCGAGUGUCUUCAUAACUAAGCCAACACACCACUCAUUCAGUAUUCUGGUUUUAUUGUUAUUAUUAAUUAAACUCUUCCAUGACAGUCAGCCAGAUGUGCAUCAAAAGCUAUAAAGUUAGGUAGUUCUCGAUUUACGACCACAAUUGAACCUAAAAUUUCUGUUGCUAAGCAAAUUUUGCCACAUUUUACGACCUUGUAAUUCCAAUUUAGGAAAAUUAUUCAAGUGAUUUUCUUGGUUGUUAUUUGUACAUGCCUUUUAAUUAUUAAAAUAUCAGCUGAUUUCUUUUGUAUGUUCAAUGUAAUAUAUUUUUCCAUAUCAUUCUUAUAGCCUGUUAUUUUUAAAUCCAUUUUCACAUAAGUCUCAUUCAUGUCAUUUUUUCCUCUUUUCUAGCAUUUUUUAAACACACUCCUGCUAUAGAGGCAAAAACUCUUAAAAUUAAUUUCUGGCUCCAUUGUUCACAAAUAUUCUUCAAUAUGUCCGAUGUUAAAAUAUUUUGCUUCAUUCUGCACUUGUGAGUUUGAGUAUUAUUCUUCUUUAAUUGUAAUCUUUAGUUCAUUCUAGUUCCCCCUUGUUUGUGAGUUUUUAAAGCCUUAUCUCAUUAUGUUUUUUUAAAGAAUUCAAAACAAAACUAUUUUCCCAUGGGAAGGAUUUUUUAUAAUUAAUUCCAAAAUCUUAUUUCAAAUUUAUAUGUAUCCUUAGACUGUUUGUAACUUUCUAAAAUCAAAGUUUUAACUACUCCUUUUCUGUUUAUUUCUUAAACUUGUAUUUAAAGUUUAUUUUGCUAAGGAUUGAAAGAAGGAUUGAAAGAAAUUUAAAAAUCAAGCAUGGUUAAAUUUGUUGAUUCAAAGAUUCCUAAUAGCUGAAAAGCCGUUAACAAACAGUCAUUGAAAAUGAUUAGAAAAGGAUGUUAGGUGAACCCAACUUCAAAGAUACAGACUGUAGCUUCAGCAAGAUAGCUAUUCCCUUGUCUCCUAGAGUUCUGAGUUUCAAUUUGCAAUACAAGAUUUAUCAUGUGCAUGCUGUUAAUAAAAAAGGCCACUGGAUGCCAGUACUGUUCUAUUAAAAUGCAAGACCUCAAAACUGUACCAUUUAAAAGCUUAACAAUCCUUCUUUUCAAACCAGUCUUAUAAAGAGAUUAAGGUGACUGAGUGACAAAAUUAAAACGUUUAGAUGGCUUUAAGGGAAAUUUUAAUGGAAAUGUUAUGCUUGGGUUCAAGAAGAGCUAUUAGCUUUAUAAUGGAACCAAAAGGUACUAUUGAAAAGGAAGAAACUCUACUGAAUGGAAUUGAAAUAGACUUUAAGGGGAUUUAAAAACUAUACCUUAUAAGAAAGGGAUGGAAAUAUUGGAUUUACAAAUGAAAUUGAAUUAUGAAUUAAGAAUUCAAAAAGAUACAUGAAUAAUAAACCAAAAGAAGGAUGUGCAAUAUUUUUUACAUUGGACUUUGUGGAAUUUCCUGAAGCUGUUUCAGUGGAACUGCAAAAGGAUUUUAAUAAAGAUGAUAAGAAUUCUGAGAGAAGAGACAAGGAUAAGUAGAUAUUGGAAUUCUAUUGGUGCGACUUAAAGAUCAUUGAUGGAAAGAAAUAAAAAUACAAAAUUGGUUUUAUCUGAUUUCCAUUAAAAUAAUGGCCUGUUAUCUCUGGUGAUCUUUAAUGGAGAUCUUUUUUGACAGGGAUUGGAUGAUGAGUGUUAGUUUUGGUAAUGUUUAAUAUAGUGGAAUGGAAUUAAUUGGGAUUGGACUUUGAGUAUUAUUGGAAGAGAUGGGAAAAUUUGCAUAAGUGGGGAAAUAUAAAUAUUUAAGUUGUUAUUUCUGUUAACUCUUAGUGGACUUUUCCUGAUUAAUAAGAGUAAUUGAAAAUUUAUAGGCGGGUUUAUAGAAAAUUGGAUCAGGUAUGGAAUGAAGAAAUGUUUUAUAUUUUAAGAGACAGUGAUAAGAUGUUAAUUUUGGCUAUACUUGCUGGAAAUAAAGAGGGAAGUUUUUUCUUCCAAUUUUUCCUUUCUGUGUAUGUGUGUGUGUAUUUCUGCAUUAGCUUUUUGUAUUUUCCUUAUUUCUUAAAUGUAAUUUUUAAUAAAAUUAUUGGGGGGAAAACUUGGGAUGGCAAAUGUAUCAUAGACAAUAUACUUCCUUUCAUUGUAGCUUAACAGUGGUCUCUUCUACGGUAGAUCACAGUAUAAAUCAAUCUCAGCAGCAAAAACAAGUAACUAAGGGUUACUAACCAUGUUGUUAGGAUAGUUAUUUAAAAUUUGAGACUCAGUACUAUAAUUAACUACUAAA